AAAAAGCUGGAGCUGAGGAGAUGUGAACUUACACCAAGCAUGAAUGUUGGAACUCAAGUCUUUGAGCUAUGAGUUACUCAUGCACAGGUGGAGUUGGUGCAUGCACAUCCCUGGGCUUCAGGCACAGCUUCGUGAGAUCAUAUGAAUUCCUGUAUACAAAACCCAGGCAGUGCAGAGCUGGGAGUAGCAGUUGAUUCACUGGAGGGCCAUGCUGCCAUUCAGAAAGACCUCGACAGGCUGGAGAAAUGAGCCCACAGGAACCUCCGUCAGCUCAACAAAAGGAAAUGCCAAAUCCUAAACCAGGGGAGGAACAAACCCAGGCACUACUACAGGAUGGGGAACCCCCAGCGGGAAGACAGCUGGAAGAGGAAAGACCUUAGGAUCUUGGUGGAUGCCAAGUUGAACAGGAGCCAGCAGUGUGCCUUUGUGGCACAUCCUCAGCAUUAGAGGAAUUGUUGCCAGCAGGUGGAGGGAGAUGAUCCUCUUUCCACUCAGCUCUGGUGAGAUGCAGCUGGGCUCCCAGUACAGGAGGCACAUGGACACUCUGAAAUGUGCCAAAUGAAGGAUCAAGAGCAGCAUGAAGAUUGGAUCAUUUAGCUUAUGAGAAGAGGCUGAGAGAGCUGGAGUUAUUUAGACUGGAGUAGGGAAGGCUGGAGUUAGUGGAGGACUUAUCAAUGGGCACAAAAUAAAACACAGGAAAUUCCAUUUCGAAAUAGAAAAUCCCUUACUGUAGUGGUCAAACACCAGAAUAGGUUGCUCAGAGAAACUCUGGAGACUCUACUCUUGGGAAUAUUAAAAACCCUACCAGAUGUGGUACUGAGCAGAGUGUUUGGACUAGACAGUCUGCAGAGCACCCUUCUGACCUCAGUGGUUCUGUGAUUUUAUUCCCAGUUUUAUUCCCAGUUUACAGCCAGUUGUUAACAUCAAAUAAAUUACUCAGCUACCAAUGAGUUGAAAUGACCCGCUAAAGAACUAAACUGAUUCUGUUUAGAGUGAAGGCCUACUGGACUGGAGUGGAUUAGUUGAGCCAGACAGGUCUGUCAACUGGAUAAACUGUCUUCUUCCUUUUACUCUGAGCUCCUCCCUUUGGCACACUCUGAGCAAUAGAACCUGUGAAAGCCAGUAUCCAGAGUUUAUGGUCUCUAGGUCUAGGAACUGUUUUUGUUAUAUGAAUAACAAAUGGAAGAGUGAGGCUGUAGCAAGAUCUUGGUAUAUCAGGUCAGAAUCUCUUCAGUUAUCAAGCAAUAUCUUAUUCUCUGGCUUUGGCUGGAGUGAGCACAUUUUUUUAGGGUUCAUGCCACAAGGUGUAGAGAACUGGCUACAGAUAUCAAUUUAAGCUAUUUUAUGGAAGAAGAAAGCAGUGUAUGAUGAAAAGCUAGGCCAGUGUUAUGAAUAUGUGCUAUAGCUUGUGCUGUUGAUCUAAUAGAAAUUCUGCUUGUUUUUCCAAAGCCUAUUAGAACUUAGAAGCUGGGAUUUCAAGGUGUUAUUCUGUUAGUGAUAGAGAGAGGAUGGAACUGAAAUCCUCUCACUUUUUUUCAUGACACUGUGGGAAAUAAUUUCAAGUUUUGAUCGGGUCUGAGGAAGAAGGCAAGGAGGUCUCAAAGGUCAGGCUGUGAUCAUUAGAAUCUAGGAGGUCUCCCAGGGGUACAGGCAAGUUAAGGGCUCUGCAAAACUAAGGUCACAACUAAGUAUGGGCUGCCUGGGGAUAAACUAAUACCUUAGAAAAUGGACUGGAAUGGAGACCAUCCAGCUUCUGCAUUGGAAGGCUUUGUACUUCCUAGGCUAAUCUAGCCUUGAGUGAACCAAAAGUAAUAAGAAGUUCCUUGAUCAUCUGUUGUUCUAGGCUUUCCUGUUAUGGUGUUUUCUUUAAGAUUGUCUCUAUUUCUUUUUGCUCUAUACUGAGAUACUUGAGCCAGUGGCAUGGGAGUACUAGUGACAGGGUGGAUUUGUCAAUUAAGCAUCUAAAAAGCUUCAGUAAAGAUCUGUGAAAACAUGAGUGUUCUCAGUAAAAUAUCUUUCAUUCUGGAAAAGUCAAGGAAGUCAUGAAACCAUAAGGUAGCAGAAAGAAGUUCUGCAACUGUUUUAUCUUAACUUGACAAACAAACAGGUAUAUGCUUCUGGUUUCCUCUUCUCUCCUUAUGGAUAAGAAGCUAUGGCUUUCAAAAUGCAAUUUAAACGUGGAGUUCAAUGUUCCCAUACCCCCAGCUCACUUCUAAUUGAGAUAAAAUACAAACUACUCACUCUAAUGUUCAAGAGCCAAGAAAUGCCUUGUGGUUAAGGCAAGUUUGGCUAUUAGUCACUUUCUGAGUCCCAGUUCUGCCAGCAACAGUAUGUGACAUCAGCAAGUAAGCUUUCCUGGUAUGGGAAAGUACUUCACUAUGAAUUUCCCUGGAUUAUAUUCUUGUUCCAUUAAAGCUAAUCCUGUCCUUCGAGCAGGAUAUUGAUUC
ensembl:lncRNA